GAGGAGCGGAAGUGCGCCAACUGACAAAUGACUGCUCUCAGGUAGUCCCGGGCUUUCCUCCAGUGAUUAACGCGACUCUGGGGCCUCAGUGCGCAUGCGAGCAGGUGGCCCCGCCCCUUUGCCCGCGUUCGCGUCUCUCAUGCUGCCCGCCCGUUUCACGUCUAGGCUGCUAUGCAGGGUCCUGCGGGGAUCCGCUCUCAUGGUAGUACGCCAUGGCCUCCGGGAGGCGCUUCUGGAGAGAAGAUGCGCCGCCGGCUGCUCCCAGCGCCCAUCGGGCCUGGGUCGUGGGCCUCCCUGUGGCCCGACAGCGACUGGGGGUUACAAGGGAAGUGCUGACAUGGAGGAGCAUUUUCUGUUCCCCGAGUACGUCCCGGAGCCGGAGCCCGCACUGAGCCUCCAACACCAGCUGCAGGAGCUGCAGCAGCGGCAGGAGGAAGAGGAGCAACAGAGGCAACAGCGGCGGGAGGAGCGGCGGCUACGGAAGCUAAGGGCGAGCGGGCGAGUGCACCCGGUGGUGGGGCACCCGGACCCGACGGUGCCGCCUAGCGGCCUGAACUGUUCGGGCUGCGGGGCGGAACUGCACUGCCAGGACCCCGGCUUGCCCGGCUACCUGCCCAGCGAGAAAUUCAGCGCGGCGGCGCAGACCGAAGACGGGCUGGCGCGGACGGUGUGCCAGCGCUGCUGGCUGCUGGUUCAUCACCGGCGCGCCCUGCGUCUGCAGGUGAGCCACGAGCAGUACUUGGAGCUGGUGAGCGCCGCACUGCGGCGGCCCGAGCCCUCCCUGGUGCUCUACAUGGUGGACCUCCUCGAUCUGCCGGACAACUUGCUGCCUCACCUGCCCGCGAUGGUGGGCCCCAAGCAGCUGAUCGUGCUAGGAAACAAGGUGGACCUGCUGCCCCAGGAUACUCCUGGUUACCGGCAGCGGCUCCGGGAGCGACUGUGGGACGAUUGUGCCCGCGCCGGGCUCCUGCCGCCCCCUGGCUACCGAAGGCCACAACAUCCCAGCAGGGACCGGCCUAGGGACGGGGAGGAGAAUGCGACUCCUUCGACCAAGUCCCGCACGGUGCUCAGGGACGUGCGGCUCAUCAGCGCCAAGACUGGCUAUGGAGUCGAAGAAUUGAUCUCCGUGCUCCAGCGCUCCUGGCGCUACCGUGGCGACGUCUACUUGGUUGGCGCCACCAACACUGGCAAGUCCACUCUCUUCAACACGCUCUUGGAGUCAGAUUACUGCAUCGCCAAGGGUGCUGAGGCUAUCGACAGGGCCACCAUCUCCCCUUGGCCUGGUACUACCUUAAAUCUCCUGAAGUUUCCUAUCUGUAACCCAACCCCUUACAGAAUGUUUCAAAGGCAAAAAAGGCUUGAAAGAAAUGCAUCUGAAGUGGAAAAAGAUCUUAGCCAGCAAGAACAAAACCAACUUAAUGUCUUGAAAAAGCAUGGUUAUGUAGUAGGAAGAGUUGGAAGAACAUUCUUGUAUUCAGAAGAGCAGAAGGAUGAAGCUACCUUCGAGUUUGAUGCUGAUUCACUUGCCUUUGACAUGGGAAAUGAACCUCUUACAGUUGCAGCUAAACCCACCAAACGAGUAGAAUUAACCCCACAAGAUGUGAAAGAUGCCCACUGGUUUUACGACACCCCUGGAAUUUCAAAAGAAAAUUGUAUUUUAAAUCUUCUAACAGAAAAAGAAGUAAAUGUUGUUUUGCCAACACACUCCAUUGUUCCAAGAACUUUCGUGCUUAAACCAGGAAUGGUUCUAUUUUUGGGUGCCAUAGGCCGCAUAGAUUUUCUGCAGAAGUUUAUUAUUAUUAUGAUGAUGAUGAUGAUGAUGAUGAUGAUGUAUCAACAAGCCUAUAGAAGGAAUCAUAGUCCCAUAAACAGGGGAGUCAGUCAGCUUGGUUUACAGUUGUGGCUUCAAACUUCCUUCCCGUGCACAUUACUUCCUUGGACAGGGCAGACACUGUGUAUCAGAAGCAUGCGGGUCAUACAUUACUCAAGGUUCCAAUGGGUGGAGAAGAAAGAAUGGCAGGAUUUCCUCCUCUUGUUGCUGAAGACAUUACAUUAGACGAAGGACCUGGGGAAUCUGAAGCAGUGGCUGAUAUCAAGUUCUCCUCUGCAGGUCACCUGCUGCAUCAGGACAGAAUGUGAUCCAGUUGUUUUGAUGCUUUGCAUAGCUGAAGAGGUUUUUCCAACUCCCUCUCCCUGUUCUCUCAACCCCAGAGAAAAGCAUAAGCUUUUAACAUAUAACUCAACUACUUACUUCCAUUAACAAAGGAAGCAGAACCUUGUUAAGAAUAUGGAUUACACUUACUCUUGGGUUUCAUUUUCUUCUGAGUUCCAUUAAAUACAGUAAAAUCCUUAAAACAGUGCCCUGACAUUCAGCGAACAUUCAAUGUAGCUCAACUUAUUUUCCCUUCAAUGCAUCUUUUUUCCAAUUAUGAGUCAAAAUUUACUAACAUCAGUCCUGCUGAGACUGGACAUGUAUAUUAAAAAUGUUAAGGGGGCCUAUGGUUGGGAAAAAAUUACUACAUAAAAUCUCAUGAAUUGUCUGCAGGUUGUUUCUCGCCUACCUUCCCCUUCACCUCCCAGAAACCAGAUUAUAGGAGGACAGGCUUUGGUCUACUACCCACUGCAUUGUUUACUCCAAAUAUUUCCACAGCCUUUUUACCUACUGUGGGUUAUUUGGGGGAAAGAUUUUGAAAAUUAUUAAUACACCUCCAAUUCCAG